UGAAUCAUCGAUUCCCGUCCGAUUACAGAAGAUAAGCAACGUCGCGCCUGGUCAGUACCUGGAUAGGUGACCCGCUUGGCAAUACCAGGUCCUGUAA